UUUGGAUUAUGUGUGAACACAAAUCAUGAGAUACUAAGGAACUGGCCAUGAGUUGAUAAUUGUUAAAGUUGAAUGACAGGACACGAAAGUUCAUUAUAUCUCGAUACUUCUGUUUAUAUUUGAAAUUUUCUCUAAUAGAUUUUCUACGUUUAAAACGGCUGAAGCCAAACAAGGAAAAGAUGGCGAGGACAAAUAUGCUUUUAUCUGCUCCAACACACCAGCAGGGUGUUUGAAUGCUUGGGGUCCUGAAAGAAGCUGGGGGAAGCUUAAGAAGAGUCUUCUUAAGAGGUUACUAGAGAAGAGAGCAUAUCCAAGAGUAACUAAUAAUCACUUGGGUUUGAAGUCAGACCUUGCCUGUGAUAACCUGAAUCAAUUCCUUUAAUCAGCAGCAGGCAACAACCAAAGACCCACUGUAGAACACACUUAUCCUGCUCAAUAUUAUGGGCUUAAAAAAUAAGGUGGAGAAAAUUAUAUGCCUAGCAUGCACAAAACAAAGUCAGCCCAUUCUCCUGUCUGUAAAUAAACUUUAUGUCUUAUUUGGCA